GAAAACCCAGCUGACCACCAAGUUCAGCCCUUAUUUUCUGAUGUUUGGGAGGGAGGCGAGGUACCCGUCAGAGGUGCCCAAGGAGUAUGAAAUAACGGAAGAGAAAGUGAGCAACUUGGUGCAAAUAGAGGAAGUCUUCGAGGGACUCAAAAAACAGGAGGCAGUUUUCGCGAGGGUGAAAGGUAACAUAGCAAAAAGCCAGGAUAAGAUCCGCAAGAGGAAAGAAGGUGGGCAAGUGGACCAUUUUCAAGUGGGGGAUUUCGUUUUAAAACGCAACAAAAGGUCGGAACAGAGGAAAGGAGGAAAGCUAGAGGCAGACAUGUUGGGACCAUUCAGGAUCCUAAAAAUUGAGGGGAAGUUAGCGGACCUUGCUACAAAAAAAGGAAAAAAGACAAUGAGAGUGAACAUUGAUCAUUUGAAACACUAUGUCCAGCCAGAGGAGAGGAUCCCUGCUAAAUUACAAAAAGUGUUGGAUCCUUCUCCUCUGGCUGCUCCACUGCCCUCCAAACCCACACCCACACCCACACCCACCUCCACCUCGACACAGAGUGCCAGGCACGAGGAGCAUCCUCUGAUGUAGAGACUUUAAUCCGAGACAUAUGGGCAGGGAGGAGACAAGAGACUGUGGGCCAAGUAUGGCCCAUACAAAAUAUACAGUGAAAAUCUGUUGGUCUUGGCCCCGGGAGAGGAGUUGGAGGGAGAGAUUGUGAAUGCCUAUCUGGCAUGGGUUGGGGCCAAAGCUGGGGUCUUCAUUGUGGACUCCUACCUAAUGACUUCCCUCUGGCAGGGAACCCACAAGGGAAGCUUAAGAAAGUUGGACUUGUCAAAACAUGAGGUGGCAGCCGGAGCUGUCUGUGACGGGGCACACUGGACCCUCAUUGUAAAUCAUGUAUCUGAAUGAGAACAGGUCCC